rnacentral:lncRNA from 1 species
UAAGGAUAAGCAGAAAUUUGGAUUUGAGGAACCGGAACACUCUUGCUGAGACAGAAGCAUGGCAGAAGAGACCAGUCCAAUGCAUAAAGGCAUUAUAUUUAGAAAACAGUUAUUACAACAAAUAGUGCUUUAGAAGAUCUGAAUCUCCAAAUCAAUGUGCUCCAUGAACUCAGGAAGACGACCUGAGGCCGAGUUCAUCAUAUUCUGCUGCACUGGUGGAUUGGCUAUAACAUUCAUCUGAGACAGCAUGGUCUUCCUGGGGGUCCUGCUGUGUUGUUUUCUGAUCGAUGUGAUUUAAGAAGUAUCUCUGACCAGAAGAUGUCUUCGCCAUCUCCCGAGCUGCUGGUAGAGGUACAUCAUCAAAAAGUAGGUGGUGCCAAGAUCAAUACCAGCUGCAGGUCCCUUCGACAUGGUUCCUGGUGUCUAGGCCUGGCUCCCACUAUGAAGAAAGACACAGAAACCCCAAGAGCUGCAGGUAUUAUGCCAGAUACUGGAGCUAAAAAGAUGGACAAACAGCCUUUCUCAAAGAACUCAUAAACUGGAGAGGAGAUGUAUGCAAGAACAACAAGCUAGACCACAUUGUGAUAAGGACUUAUCUAAUGGUAUGAAGAAGUGGUGUAGCAGAGAGGAGAGAGCAAUUAAUCCUGGGGCAUGGACGGCCUUCAAGAGAAGAAAGUGAUAUUGCAGCUUGAUCAUAAAGGGUUAUGGGAAUUUUUCCAGGCUAAGAAGGAAAUGAAGGGUAUUCCAGGCAUGAACAAAAGCACAGAGAAUUGACAGCACAUAUUGUUUAGGGGAAGAGCAAAUUGCGGGAAAUUAGCUUAGAAUGGGGUAUGAUACCCAAAUAAUGAAAUAUGGAAGGUAGAAUGUUAAGGAGACAUCUCACCAAAUUAAAGCGCUGAACUUCACUAGGGUCACUGGAGGAGCCUUUGAAAAGUUUCAAUAGGAAACAGCCUAAUUGGAGCUGGGAUAGAACACAUUGGAGAAGGAGGAGACUGAACAGGGAGACCCAUCAGGAGUAUCAGUAAUUCAGGCUGAAGAUGCAGAAACAGCGGCAGGCCCUGAGCAGCAGGGAAAAAAAGGGAAAGUUGAGAGCCACGUGGGAAGUAAAAAGGACCCACUGGCAACUGAUUAGAUGUGAGUGUGGAGGAAGGGAGAAUAUGU